GAGGAUCCGAGCGUUAUCCGGAUUUAUUGGGUUUAAAGGGAGCGUAGGCGGGAGGUUAAGUCAGUUGUGAAAGUUUGCGGCUCAACCGCAAAAUCGCAGUUGAUACUGUCCUCCUUGAGUGCGGUACGGGCAGGCGGAAUUCGUGGUGUAGCGGUGAAAUGCUUAGAUAUCACGAAGAACUCCGAUCGCGAAGGCAGCUUGCCGGGCCGUAACUGACGCUGAUGCUCGAAAGUGCGGGUAUCAAA
rnacentral:rRNA from 1 species